CAGCAGUGGGAAUAUUGCACAAUGGGGGAAACCCUGAUGCAGCCAUGCCGCGUGUGUGAAGUAAGGCCUUCGGGUUGUAAAGCACUUUCAGUAGGGAGGAAGGUAGUGUAGUUAACACCUGCAUUAUUUGACGUUACCUACAGAAGAAGCACCGGCUAACUCCGUGCCAGCAGCCGCGGUAAUACGGAGGGUGCGAGCGUUAAUCGGAAUUACUGGGCGUAAAGCGCAUGCAGGCGGCCUGUUAAGUCAGAUGUGAAAGCCCGGGGCUUAACCUCGGAAUUGCAUUUGAAACUGGCAGGCUAGAGUCUUGUAGAGGGGGUAGAAUUUCAGGUGUAGCGGUGAAAUGCGUAGAGAUCUGAAGGAAUACCAGUGGCGAAGGCGGCCCCCUGGACAAAGACUGACGCUCAGAUGCGAAAGCGUGGGGAGCAAACAGGAUUAGAUACCCUGGUGG
rnacentral:rRNA from 1 species